GACUCUGAAGUGCUGAUUGCUGAUUCCAGCAUCGACCCGCCGUGUUUUACCUAGUUCUCUGUGUAGGAGUGUCGAAACGUGACGAAAUUUGACGUGCUAGAUUCGCGACUUCGAGACGAAGAUUCUGAGCCCAAGAUCGCGAUUUUUGGAGCAGGUUUGCCCUGUCGAACCCUAGUUUUACUAGGCUGCUGUUUGCCGAGCAGAUUUCAGAGAUGCUGUUUCGCAGGUUCCAGCGUCGACGUUUCGUAUUCUGGCCCAUUCUCUGCGCAGGAGCGUCGGAAUUCAGCGAAACCUGGGCCAUUGGAUUCGUGACUUCGAGAUGAAGCUUCAGGACCCUUGUUUGCUGAAUUUGGAUAAGGUUAGCUUGGUUGGAUUUAACGCUUUCUUCGCUGCCAGGAGUUGCUUGAGAGGUAG
rnacentral:lncRNA from 1 species